CACACGCCGCGUGAGUGACCAAGGCCUUUGGGUCGUAAAGCUCUGUCGACAGGGAAGAAGUUAACAUCAAUUAAUAGUUGUUGUUAUUGACGGUACCUGUGGAGGAAGCGCCGGCUAACUCCGUGCCAGCAGCCGCGGUAACACGGGGGGCGCAAGCGUUAUUCGGAAUUAUUGGGCGUAAAGGGCGCGCAGGCGGUCUUGUCCGUCAGGUGUGAAAGCUCGGGGCUCAACCCCGGAAGUGCACUUGAAACAGCAAGACUUGAAUACGGGAGAGGAAAGCGGAAUUCCUGGUGUAGAGGUGAAAUUCGUAGAUAUCAGGAGGAACACCGAUGGCGAAGGCAGCUUUCUGGACCGAUAUUGACGCUGAGGCGCGAAGGCGUGGGUAGCGAAAGGGAUUAGAUACCCCUGUAGUC
rnacentral:rRNA from 1 species